rnacentral:rRNA from 1 species
GAUGAACGCUGGCGGCGUGCCAAAUACAUGCAAGUCGAGCGAACGGACGAGAAGCUUGCUUCUCUGAUGUUAGCGGCGGACGGGUGAGUAACACGUGGAUAACCUACCUAUAAGACUGGGAUAACUUCGGGAAACCGGAGCUAAUACCGGAUAAUAUUUUGAACCGCAUGGUUCAAAAGUGAAAGACGGUCUUGCUGUCACUUAUAGAUGGAUCCGCGCUGCAUUAGCUAGUUGGUAAGGUAACGGCUUACCAAGGCAACGAUGCAUAGCCGACCUGAGAGGGUGAUCGGCCACACUGGAACUGAGACACGGUCCAGACUCCUACGGGAGGCAGCAGUAGGGAAUCUUCCGCAAUGGGCGAAAGCCUGACGGAGCAACGCCGCGUGAGUGAUGAAGGUCUUCGGAUCGUAAAACUCUGUUAUUAGGGAAGAACAUAUGUGUAAGUAACUGUGCACAUCUUGACGGUACCUAAGCAGAAAGCCACGGCUAACUACGU